rnacentral:misc_RNA from 1 species
UCACCCUUAUAAGCCCUUUGAAUUACUUGUGAUCCUUCAAUAUGGGACUUUUGACAAAACUCAAUUGCUUGGUCUUUGAGGAUAUUGAGGGAAGAAAAAAGAAGAUUAAUUGUUUUAAUCAUAUGUAGGGAUAGUCAGAUGAAUUAAUGUCAGUCAUUUUACCCUCUUUUAGUUCAUGUGAGUUUUACUUCCCCUUUCUGGGUUCUUUUUUAUUUCUGAAUUCUGAGGCUGUUUUGGAUUAAGGUAUUAUUUCCUUAUAAUAAUUCGAGUAAGAUCAUUUUGUUUAGCUUGUGAUAAUCAAGUCAAGUUAUCAAACAUGUGGGCUUAGUCUAAUCUAAAAAUGGUUUGCUCCAUGAAUUCUGAUUAUGCAUCCUUAUUUGGUUGUUCAGACUUUGGAAAUUUGGGGAGAGGAAGAGGAGAUAGUACUUUGAAUUGUAGGCAGAAAUUUAAGAGGGGAGACACCCAAGUUGGUGUAUUUUCUUUGCAAUAGAAUUAUUUACUUUAGAACCAGAAAGAAAGGAGGUCUUAUUUCUGUUCUUUUGGGAGUAUUGUCAAUGUGUCUUUUCAUUGAUGAUGUGUUUAUGUGAAUGAUAGUGCCUUCUAGCGGUGAAAUUUAAUGUUACAGUUUUGAGGUUGGAAAUUAGGUAAUUUAACUGUCAGAAACACCUUUGGUCAUUAGAACUGGGGCAAGAAAGAGAAGUCGGUUUCUUCCUCUUAAUAUUUUAUUUGUUCGAGUUUGGAGAGAUGAGAAAUUGGCCUCAAUCAAAUCAGAUUUGAGCAAAUAGUUUGUAAAUAAAUUAUUGUGAUUAUAUUGUAUUGGAGUAACAGCGAAGGUUAUGUUGCAGUACACUUGUGGGAAAUUUUAAUAUGUUACAAAACUUGUCUUUUGGUUAAUAGGAAUUCAUGAGUAAAAAAUAGAGAUUAUUUUCGGUACUUGUUUAUAUUUUCUUUGAAAGGUUAGGAAUUUGUAGGUUGCUUCACUUUAAUUAGACUCAGAUGACAUCAAUGAGAUUUGAUUGUUUAUUUUCCCCUGGCACAAUGGAUAUGUCACAAUUUUAAGGUUUUAAUUUAUCUUCUCCCUGCCUUUUUCUCAGCAACCAAAUGGAGCACAAAUGGAAGAAUAAAAAAAAGGGAAAGAAAGCACAUCUCAGGUUUAUCAUGACCUGAUUACAAGGGUUUCCGGAAGGUUGAUCCAGACCGCUGGGAAUUUGCCAAUGAGGGAUUCUUGAGGGGUCAAAAGCACCUACUUAAGAGUAUUAGUCGACGAAAACCUGCUCAUGGACAUGCUCAUCAACCGGUACAAAAACCUCACGGACAAAACUCAUCUGUGGGUGCCUGUGUUGAGGUUGGGAAAUUUGGGCUGGAGGAAGAGGUUGAGAGGCUUAAGAGGGACAAGAAUGUGCUUAUGCAAGAACUUGUUAGGUUGAGGCAGCAGCAACAGGCUACUGAUGGCCAAUUGCAAGCCAUGGUACAGCGACUUCAAGGGAUGGAGCAGCGGCAGCAACAAAUGAUGUCUUUCCUGUCAAAGGCUAUGCAAAGCCCUGGCUUCUUGGCUCAGUUUGUACAGCAGCAAAAUGAAAGCAAUAGACGCAUAACAGAAGCUAACAAAAAACGAAGGCUCAAACAAGAUGGUAUUUCUGAGAAUGAGAAUUCUAGUGCUCCUGAUGGCCAAAUUGUGAAGUACAAGCCUCUGAUAAAUGAGGCAGCAAAAGCCAUGCUGAGGCAAAUGAUGAAAAUGGAUGCUUGUUCCGGGAUUGAAUCUUAUAACAAUGGUCUUGAAGUUUUCCUAAUUGGCAGUGGCUCACCAUCAUCCAGCGGAAUGGAGAGUGGGAGGUCUUCAAGCCAUAUAUCAGAGGUGACUCUUCAAGAGGUCACACCAACUACAGGUGAUUCAACCUAUGUACCAGCAGCUUCAGGGCAUGACCCUGCAGCUUCCAUUUCAGAAAUAAAAUGCACUCCAUGCAUUCCCAGUUCUGAAAAGAUAACAGCUUCUCAGCUUCCUGAUAUGAGUGCACUGGUUGGAUCACAAGAGGCACCCUCCAUUUCUGUUCCUCAGUCAGAUGUAGUCAUGCCAACGCUUUCCCAAAUACCAGAAAUGGUGCCUGAAAGUAUUGUUGAUAUUCCUGGCGAAGGUUAUGAGGAGCCUGAGACUGGCAAUGAUGGAUUUAUGGAUCUGACUUUAGUAGGAAUUGAAAAUGUUCCCUCAGAUCCUGAUAUUGAUAUGUUGCUUGAAAAUUCUAGCUUCUGGGAUGAACUCGUGCAAAGCCCAGUACUUGAGGAUAUUGAAUCAAGCUCUGUGGAUGGUGAAGCAAAGGGAAACGAUGUGCAGCCAAUGGACAGUGGUUGGGACAAAACUCAGCACAUGGAUCAGCUUGCAGAGCAGAUGGGACUUCUCACAUCAGAUGCUAAAAAGCUUUGAUCUGAUUUACAGAAUGUACAUCCUGCACUCUGCCCUAGGUAAACACCUUGUUAAACUUUUGACCUUUAAAAUCAUAUGUUCCUCUUUCUUUGGCCAUUGAAAAAAUAGUCGAUACCUUUUGUACUUGUUUGCCUGUGGUUUUUUCUUUACAUAUAUCGAGACAUAAAUUAGCUCUCUUCAAAAGUUUUAAUCUGAAAUUUUAGUGAUCUUCUCUGUUCAUCUUUCGGGAAAUUCAAGAUCUCAAGAAACAUAAGAUGUUUUGCAUCCAUGUCUUUGACAUUGCACCCUUGUAUAUCUUGAGCCUUGCUCCUUAGUAGAAGCAUAAAUGAGUUGAGCUGCUUAUGAGUUAUUUGGACUUGACUCGCAAAAAUGGUUGAAUUAUACUCCAGGUUUAAUUAAGUCAAGCUCGAACUUGAGCAGCUUGAAUAGUGAGUUGAGCCGAGCAAGUUCAAGCAUCACAAUACUCAGCUGGAAUGGUCUGUGAGCCUAAUUGAGUAUAUAUGUUUUUGUAUAAUUUUAAGUAAUAAUUUAUAAAUUCAAGUUUGAACUCAACCUCACUCUACUUAUUCAAGAUUUAAUUUGAGAUUAGUCAAUAAUUUUAUUGGUGAUUUGAGUCAAGUUGAGCUCGAGUGUUUGCCCCGUGGUGUGGAUAUUAAUGGGUGUUUGCUCUCAUUCAAAAAUACAAUCGUUGAAUCAACUUUACUAGGCAUAGUUAUUUCGUGUGAAAAGUCUCUUUGUAAAGAGCGGAUUCAGUUAUCUAUGCGCUAAUGUUAGAAGACCAUGUGUUCAAUCAUGUUGCUGCGACUGAAAGUGAUGAAAGUGAUAUAUUUGGGAUAGCAAGCAGACCUAUUAAUCCACAAAAGGUGGAUUUUUAUAUUUUUAAUGGUGUUUAAGAGCUUGAAUUGGGAAUUUACAAAAGACACAAGCUUCUUUAAAGCAGUUAGCUGCCAUAUGUUUUCUCAUUCAAUUAAUGCCUAUGCUAUUACGAUGAUUAUUAUUGUAAAGUACAUCUUGGGUAGAGUAUAGAUAUUGUGCAAGCAAAUGGGUUUCUAGAGGAAAUGUAAAUGAAAGGGGAAAGCCCUUCAGUUGGAACUUAUAGUUGCAUAUAUUCAUGGUCUUUGUAGAGCUGGUUGUUUUAUCUAGGAUUUGAGAAUCAUAUAUUCUACAUAUAAGAAGUUGAAUUCAGCAAUUCCAAUAAACAGAAAAAGUUGCAGACAAUAAAUAAAUAAAUAAAUAACCAUGAAUAGUCUCUCUACUUCAUUGCUUCCUUCACCCAAGGAAGAUAAAUUUUGGUAUUUAGAUUUGUGAAAUGUGUUUAAAAGCAAUAUCAUAAACCUAUUUGUUAUUAGCUGCCUGCUAAUGUUUACCUCAGUAGUUUAGAAC